GGAAUUUUGGGCAAUGGGCGCAAGCCUGACCCAGCCACGCCGCGUGAGUGAUGAAGGCCUUCGGGUCGUAAAGCUCUGUGGGGAGGGACGAAAGCCCUGAGGUUAAUACCCUCAGGUUUGACGGUACCCCCUUAGCCAGCACCGGCUAACUCCGUGCCAGCAGCCGCGGUAAUACGGGGGGUGCAAACGUUGCUCGGAAUCAUUGGGCGUAAAGCGCACGUAGGCGGUCCCUUAAGUCGGGUGUGAAAGCCCUCGGCUUAACCGAGGAAGUGCAUUCGAAACUGGGGGACUUGAAUACUGGAGAGGAUGGCGGAAUUCCCGGUGUAGAGGUGAAAUUCGUAGAUAUCGGGAGGAACACCAGCGGCGAAGGCGGCCAUCUGGACAGAUAUUGACGCUGAGGUGCGAAAGCGUGGGGAGCAAAC
rnacentral:rRNA from 1 species